UCAUCCAAACCGGGCCAUAAUGAGCCGUGGGACUCUACUUUACUCUUUCCCAUCGCUCCGAAAGUGUGGAUCAGUCUUCCGUUAUGCCCAUGCCCCAUUUCUACAUAUGCUUCUAAUUUCGCUUUAACUUUAUAGUUCUUGAAAUGUGCAGAGGCCUUCUAUGCUCUAAGAAGCCCUGAAUUCUGGGAAAAUAGAAUCCAAACGUACACGAUUCCUUAGAGCCCUUUUAUGGAGCACUGCUCCGAUCUUCUUUGUUUUUGAUACAUUUUUUUCUGUCUUGUUUUGUUCUAUUUUGUUUUGUUUUUCCUCUUUGUUGUUUUUGGUGUUGAUGCAGGUUUUGCACCAGAGCAAUGACGUCCAAAUCUCAUAAACAUGGAAAGCGUAUUGAGGUUCAAAAGAUGCGAAAGAAGCUCAAGAAACAUGGGCGACGCUUGGUUAGUACAAGUGGGUCGUCCUCUGAGUCCUAUGAUUCAAAUCGGGGAAGGCCUAGGACGAGAAAAAGUAGUCACAAGAGGAAAAUAAUCCAUUAUUCCAGUAGUGAAGAUGAGGACCUUCAUCACAAGAAGACGAGAAGAGGAAGAAGCAGGCGUAGCAUGAGGAAGAGGAGUGAUUCAAUUAAAAGAAAGCGGGGAAGCCCUAUCAAACACAAAAGAAAGGUGAGGAAAAGAAGCUCAAGAAGUAGUUCCUUGAGCAGGUACUCCAGAAGGAGUUGCUCAACUUGUAGGAGUUGUAGUAGUAGCAGCUCAGAAAGUGAUAGAGAAAGAUAUAAGAGAAGUGGUCGGAACUCGUCAAGAAUUAAAUCUCAUUCAAAAUACCAAAUGAAGAAGAAUGGGGAAAUUCUGAAGAGGGCUAGCGAUGAGAAUGAUAAAUAUUAUGAUAGGUAUAGGCCUCAUAGGUGCUCAUCGUGUAGUGGUGGCACUGAAGAUGAGGAGAGAGUAGCCCAUCAUAAAAAACCAGUUUGGAGUGCAACUUUAUCAAAAAAGGAGAAAAUAGGGGAGAGAGAAAAUGAGGAUAAGAUGGCAAUACAGUUGGAUGAUCGUUGCCCAUCUUACACAGAUGAUGAGACAGAUAGAAGAGGAAGGAGUGUACUGUCCUCUAUUAUUGAGAGAUGCGAGCCAGUUGAAAAGGAAAGUGCAGGUUCCCUUAAUAUUGUCCAAUCUUCUAGCUCCAAGAAGGUUGAUGAGUCAUCAAUUCAUGACAGUGGGGUUGAAAGAUAUUCUGCUAAGGACCUGGACAUCAUUAGAGAAAGCAGUAAGAUCAGCUCGUCUAAUGGGUCUAAUGGGGGUGGUUCUCCUUCCCAUAGAGUUCAGUCAAGGAUCUCCCGCAAAGAGGAAAAUGUUGAGACCACUGUUGAUUUUGAUAAACCUGAUACCGAGGCUUUGGAGGCCCUUUUAAGACAUAAAGCUUUGGAAAAUUUGCAAAGGUUUCGUGAUAGACCUGGUGGGAAAGCACUAAAUAUUAAUGGAAAAGGGCCUGAGGGUAGAGCUUUUGGGGCAAUGGCAACCAGGAAUGAUGAGAAUACUUAUGGAAAACCAUCUGAGACCCCUGAUAAGAAAUUAGCAGCACAAGAAGUUGAGAAUGAAAACAUUAGCAGUGAAAGUGCCAAGGAAGCCAGUUUUUCUGCUUUUUCUCGAAUAACCACUGAACAUCCCAAUCAAGAUGUUUCUAUUACUAAUCCUGGACAUUUUGCUACUGCCACUUCAAUAAAUGGUAGUUCUAGUAGUGCGCUUACUGGAAUUGCCGAGGGAGCACUUAAUGCUACUAAUGAAACCCAGAAAAUCGCCACUCAUAUGCCCAGUGCAUAUGAACCCUCUGAGCAGGAAUUAUCUCAGAAAAUCAUGAGUACUCCAUGUCAAAGAGUUACUGAAGUGGUGCCUGGCCCAAGUGAAAAAGGAGCUAAUGAAGUGAAGCCUGCCCCAAAAGAAAAAAUAGUUACAGAAGUGAGGCCCUCUCCUACUGAAAAUGGUGAGAUGGAAUUAGGGACUAUUAGAGCUGAUGCAUCUUCUUCAGAUGCUUCUUGCAGGCAUGACCCAGCAAUGAAUAAGACAGAAUUGGAUAAUUCGAAAGGUAGGACUAUAGAUAGCUCGCAAUUUGAGCAGAAAACGAUGUCGGUAAUGCGGGGUGGAGAAAUGGUGCAGGUGAGCUACAAGGUAUACAUACCAAAACGACCCUCAGCUUUAGCAAGGAGGCAAUUGCAGCGGUGAAGUAUAAAUGUCGCUUGUGUGUUUUUUCAUGGCAUAAAUUCGUCAAGGGCUCAAGCCUAUCUUUCAAGUAAAGACGUACAAGAUGUUGGAAUGUGGGCAAGGUAGUCGUUUCUUAUUGACAUAUGAGUUUGAGAUUUGCUAUAUGAUGUGGUAUCUCAAAAUUCUGCAGUGCAAGUUGGCUGUGUUUGGGAAUACAUUUUGUUUCAAGCAUAUUUUCUGUGGGCAUUGAGAAUCCUCUUUAUGUAAUAGACAUUGUUGGGAGGCAUUCAUCAAGGGGCAUGUUUAGGUGUACCUCCCACUUCAAACAAAGUUGCAUAUAUAUGAGUGAAAUUUAAAGUUGCUUUAUCAAAAAGAAGAAGAAGAAGAAGAAGAAGAUGAAGAGAGAGAGAUGAGAGAGAGAGAGAGAGAGGAGGAGGAGGAGGAGGAGGAGGCGGAGGAGGUUAGUUUUAUAUGCUCUUCAGCUAGCAUGUUCUUGUCCCCUUCAAGUGAAACCAAAAUAAAAGGGCACAAGAAAACAUACACUAUAUAGAAAUUUGUUUUGUGUUUUUUAUAUAGUUUGGAAUGUUUUUAGAUAGUUCAAUGUUUUUACUACUUAAGGAGAUAAUACAAUCUGUUAAAGGUGAAAACAAAUCUCAGAGAAAAUGUUGAUGAUCAGUUUGCCAUGAUUAAUACCAGAUUACUGAUCUAAGAAAAAAGGAAAAAAUUAAAAAGAA